CCGCGCCGCGAGCAGGGGCUCCCCCGGCGCCGUCGCCGCUCCGGGGCCGCACCUUCUCCUUCUUCAGCUUGUAGGGCAUGGGACUUAAACCUGAAAAACAUUCUCCUGGACAGUGAGGACAACAUGAAGGUCUCCAUCUCCAGAUUUUUCCAGAAGGGUGGUCCUGCAGGAUGUCAGUGGGGAGUCUCUUGGGACCUCUGCACAUCCAAAGCUGCCCACCAAGGCAGUGCUGAGCCAGACCUUCUGCCAAUCCUAUGCUUAUACCUGUCCUGCGAUCCUGCAGGAGAAGCCCUGUGACCUCUUCCUGGAAAACACAUGGAGUGCUGAAGUCAUCCUCUGCACCUUGCUCCGGGACUACAUAUAUUGUGAUGCCACCAACCUGUGGCACGUCCUGCACCAGACCCAGACGUCUCCUGUCUUCCCUCAAAGCACCUCUCAGCUGCUGAGCUGCUCCAGGUCCACUGGGUCUCUUGGUUCCUGCUCCUAGAGCACCUGCCUUUGGGCACCUAGGCUGCCAAGCAACCAUUUUGGUUUUGGAAGGGAUUUUACCAGAAAGCCCUUUUGCAGUUUUGAGGCCCCCUCAACUUCAGGGGGCUGCUAAUAAAAGCCUUGAACCUUCUCUCGCCUCCUGUUGUCCUGGCAACCCUCCCACAGAAAGCCCCUGCAAGAGACCUUGCCAAAUCCAUGGUAGCAUCGCCCUCCAGCCCACAAAGGAGCCUCCCCAUCUGGGGACAUCUCUCCAUUCAAAGCUUCUCUGUGACUGCAGGACCUUCCAGGCCCCAGGAAU